rnacentral:rRNA from 1 species
CCUACGGGAGGCAGCAGUGAGGAAUAUUGGUCAAUGGACGAGAGUCUGAACCAGCCAAGUAGCGUGAAGGAUGACUGCACUAUGGGUUGUAAACUUCUUUUAUAUGGGAAUAAAACGUUCCACGUGUGGGAUUUUGUAUGUACCAUAUGAAUAAGGAUCGGCUAACUCCGUGCCAGCAGCCGCGGUAAUACGGAGGAUCCGAGCGUUAUCCGGAUUUAUUGGGUUUAAAGGGAGCGUAGGUGGAUUGUUAAGUCAGUUGUGAAAGUUUGCGGCUCAACCGUAAAAUUGCAGUUGAAACUGGCAGUCUUGAGUACAGUAGAGGUGGGCGGAAUUCGUGGUGUAGCGGUGAAAUGCUUAGAUAUCACGAAGAACUCCGAUUGCGAAGGCAGUUCACUGGACUGCAACUGACACUGAGGCUCGAAAGUGUGGGUAUCAAACAGGAUUAGAUACCCGUGUAGUC